rnacentral:tRNA from 1 species
GCCGGGGUGGCGGAACUGGUAGACGCACCAGACUCAAAAUCUGGCGAGGGCAACCUCGUAUCGGUUCGAUUCCGAUCCUCGGUA